AACGAACGCUGGCGGCAUGCCUAACACAUGCAAGUCGAACGAGACCUCCGGGUCUAGUGGCGCACGGGUGCGUAACGCGUGGGAACCUGCCCUUAGGUUCGGAAUAAUUCCCCGACAGGGGUGCUAAUACCGGAUAAUGUCUUCGGACAAAAGAUUCAUCGCAUUUGGAUGGGCCCGCGUUGGAUUAGCUUGUUGGUAGGGUAAAAGCCUACCAAGGCGACGAUCCAUAGCUGGUCUGAGAGGAUGAUCAGCCACACUGGGACUGAGACACGGCCCAGACUCCUACGGGAGGCAGCAGUGGGUAAUAUUGGACAAUGGGCGAAAGCCUGAUCCAGCAAUGCCGCGUGAGUGAUGAAGGCCUUAGAGAUGUAAAGCUCUUUUACCCGGGAUGAUAAUGACAGUACCGGGAGAAUAAGCUCCGGCUAACUCCGUG
rnacentral:rRNA from 1 species